UCAACUUCCUGCUAAUACUUUACCAUAAAUUAAAAAAUUUAAACAACAUUUUAAAAAAAAUUAAACAAAAUAAAAAAAGAAACAUUUUCUUAUUCCUUACUUUGCUCCUCUUCCCUUUAAACCUUAUCUCUUUCAAAUAUUUCCAUCUUUCUCAAAAAUGGCUUCCUUCUUCUUCUUGUUGCCCCUUCGUCGUUCCUCUCUGCUAACCCCCACACCUCUCCAACGCUGUCCAUCUCCGCCAUCUUCGUCGCCUGUUGUGCUCUUCCAUAUUCGUCGUUCUAUUUGCUUUCUCUCUCAAUAACCACUUCACUCAAUCACAUGUAUUCAAUUUUUUUUUCUUCUAAUCUCAUUUUGAAUUUUCUCUUGAGUGGUUAUUUAAUCUUAUUAAAUUAUUGAAGAGCUAUUCUAUUGAUGGAUUUUAGUUGUAGGGUUUCUCCUUUCCAUAAUCUUGUUUCUAAGCCUUGUGUUUAAACAGAGUAAUGUUAGCUAUAUGAUGGGAAGACUUGUAUAUAAUAUUAGUAAUAUGCUAAGGAGUCAAUAUGCUAUCCCAGAAGUAUUCAUUAGAUGUGGGGAGUUUUUGGACAGAAAGCUAAAGAUGGUGGCUUGGAUGUUAUACCUCCUAUGUGUUUUGGAAUCUACACAAGCCUUCUCUUGGCAUGUAUGUAAUUUUCUUUUUCUUAAUCUUUUUAUUUUUAUUUUUAGUUUUUAUCCCUAAUUUUUCUUGCUAUUAUGCGGGUUUCAUUGUAGUGCAACUUUGAAGAAAGGAAUGAUUUGGUUGGGUUCAUCAAGACAAUCCAUAGAGCAGGACCCUAUGUUCUUCUCCGAAUUGAGCUUUAUAUUAGUUCAAAAUGGAGCUUUUGUGUUAACAACAACCAAUAACCACAGAUUGUGGUUUCUAUUGCAUGAAGUAUGCUAAGGAUCUCAUUUCACAACAAAAAUCCAGAGCAAAUCUAUCGAAUAAUGAAAUAAUUAAAUGUGUUUACCUUUUAACUUUCAUAAAGUUAUAUUUUAAUUACACAUAUAUUUGAAAUCUAACUUAUAAUUUCAAUUAUUUGUAGUUCAAUUCAGAUUUAUUGUAUACUAAUGCUGAACUUAAUGAAAUUCAAGAGGAGUGGGCAAAAUAUAUUCUACUGUUUCUCACUAAAUGAUGGCAUGCAUGUUCAGUACCUAUGUGAGGGGAUUUAGUCAUUUUUUGAACUUUGUAUUUCUUUUAUUAGAAAUUUUAAGAACUAAUCAAAUAUAAAAUCAAUCUAACAAAUUAUAGGUUGAGUUAGUUUAGCUUUUUGUUGAGGAUACUUUGCUAAAUAUCCAUUUUAUGAC